ensembl:snRNA U1 U1 spliceosomal RNA
AUACUUACCUGGCAGGGGGGAUACCAUCAUCACGAAGGUGGUUUUCACAGGGCAAGGCUUAUCCAUUGCACUCCGGAUGUGCUGACCCCUGCGAUUUCCCCAAAUAGGGGAAAUUAGACUGCAUAAUUUGUGGUAGUGGGGGACUGUAUCCGCACUCUCCUCUA